GUGUCAGAACUCCAGCGCGCAGGUUGCCUGGAGCCCAACCAAGGGACAAACAAAACAAUGAAGCUUUGCGAUUUCUCUUCGUUUCUCAGUUCGGGGAGCCUUAAUCCAGGACCGCCAGAUCUCCAUCCUGGGGCCUACUAGUAGACGUUAAUGAAAAAUAUAUGGAGCUGAACCCACCCACAUACUGAGCUCUGAAAGAUUUCAAGAUCUGGCAGAAGAUAACACUUUGAAAAAAAUAUAAAAUAUGUUAUACUGCAAAA